rnacentral:lncRNA from 1 species
UUUUGACUCUUUUUCUACUCAAAUUUUUCGAGCAUUUUAUAGGUGUUAGAGUCUUAAGUCUCGGCAAAUGCAUUUUUCUCUUUUGUUUUUCUUUUCUCUUUUUAUUUUUUUUAUUUUUUUUUAUUUUAAAGAACAUACAUACUAUUUUUCUUUUUGUAUGCUCUCUUAUUAUGCACUUGCCUUCUCUUUCAAGAUUUCCACCCCAAACUUAGUUUUAUUGCACAUCUUGCAAUUCACACAAUCAUACCGAGUUAUGGAAAAAAAAGAAUGAAUGAUUAAAAGUUAACAGGGGGUUUAUGAUGAAUAAUGCUUAAUAGUUAACAAGGGGUUUAUGAUGAAUAAAAUGGCUAAGGCUCAACGGGGUUCACGAAGGGAAACAUACAUAUAGGGAUGGUUAGAAAGGCCCUGGCUAAACAAAC